rnacentral:rRNA from 1 species
GACGAACGCUGGCGGCGUGCUUAACACAUGCAAGUCGAACGCUGAAGCCUAGCUUGCUGGGUGGAUGAGUGGCGAACGGGUGAGUAACACGUGAGUAACCUGCCCCCUUCUUUGGGAUAACGCCCGGAAACGGGUGCUAAUACUGGAUAUUCACUGAUCUUCGCAUGGGGGUUGGUGGAAAGGUUUUUUCUGGUGGGGGAUGGGCUCGCGGCCUAUCAGCUUGUUGGUGGGGUGAUGGCCUACCAAGGCUUUGACGGGUAGCCGGCCUGAGAGGGUGACCGGUCACAUUGGGACUGAGAUACGGCCCAGACUCCUACGGGAGGCAGCAGUGGGGAAUAUUGCACAAUGGGCGAAAGCCUGAUGCAGCGACGCCGCGUGAGGGAUGGAGGCCUUCGGGUUGUAAACCUCUUUCGCUCAUGGUCAAGCCGCAACACUGGUUGUGGUGAGGGUAGUGGGUAAAGAAGCGCCGGCUAACUACGUGCCAGCAGCCGCGGUAAUACGUAGGGCGCGAGCGUUGUCCGGAAUUAUUGGGCGUAAAGGGCUUGUAGGCGGUUGGUCGCGUCUGCCGUGAAAUCCUCUGGCUUAACUGGGGGCGUGCGGUGGGUACGGGCUGACUUGAGUGCGGUAGGGGAGACUGGAACUCCUGGUGUAGCGGUGGAAUGCGCAGAUAUCAGGAAGAACACCGGUGGCGAAGGCGGGUCUCUGGGCCGUUACUGACGCUGAGGAGCGAAAGCGUGGGGAGCGAACAGG